rnacentral:lncRNA from 1 species
UGGCUGGAGGGUAGAGAUUGAUUAAACGAAUUUUGCCUGGGUUGUUGAGUAAUAUCACCCAACUGUUGCUGUCGUUGGAUCAUGGAUGCUAAUGGGUUCAUUGUGGAUGGCAGCUUUUGGAGUUGAUCAAGCUGUUGUGCUUGCUGAGGUAGUCUCUGGGCAUUGAAUUGUAAAUUGCUCAACUGAGGUAUUUGAGGCCCUGACAUGCCCAACUGCCGAGAAAGAUCCGCUCCAGCAAGGUUUUGCAGAGCAGAACCAGGAAAGGAAUGCAUGUAAUUUGGCUGUAUGGAGUUACCCGCAGAAGAAUUUUGCUGCAUGUUCAUCCACUGGACUAAG